rfam:Salmo salar isolate Sally breed double haploid chromosome ssa27, whole genome shotgun sequence.
GCCGAAAUAGCUCACUUGACAGAGAGUUAGACUGAAGAUCUAAAGGUCCCUGGUUUGAUAACGGGUUUCGGCA